rnacentral:rRNA from 1 species
AUGCACGGGUUGACGACUAGUAUUUGUAAUUACCAACUGCUCUGUGAGGUGUAUCUUCAGCAAGAGCCGGCCGUAGAGCUGUUUAGAGAGUACUUUUAUCUGAACCGGCAGAACGAAUGCACCAAUGGUCCUAGCUUAGAACUUGGAGGCAUCUCAAUUCAGCACCGUCAGGGUGCUGUCUUCCCUCUCAUAGUUUUACCAAGUCACCCAAAGGACUGGAACCAGACUUGGUUUUACUGUCAAGAUAUCUCUCCAGCAAAUGAGAAGCCACUGCCGGGUUACCGCCCCCGUCGUCUUGACUCCAAGUUCACCCUUCCGGAUAAACUCACUAUUGCUGAACGUAAGAGGCUGCUUCCAUCCAUCAAAAGAAUCAAUGCUUUGUUGGGGAACGGUUUAACUGGAGUAGAUAUGACCCACUGCUGGAUCUCAUGGCGGGUUAUUCCAUUAAGCCGUCGAUCAAAAAUGAUGUAUGAAUAUGGUGGAGGCUCGGACAACUCUCUUUGUCACAGCCCAGUUGAACUCACCGAAGAAGACAUUGUUUCAAUGUCAAACCUUUUGGUGAAUGGGAAAUAUGAAGACUCUAGCAUUGUUGGGUUAAAUCCCUUCUGCAAGCUUAACCCAGUACCAGAAGCCAAUUCUGACUUUUGUAAGGUGAAAUAUGACUACGAGGCUGCCAAGAAGGAGAAAGCUGCGCCAUGA